AACGAACGCUGGCGGCAUGCCUAACACAUGCAAGUCGAACGAUCCCUUCGGGGAUAGUGGCGCACGGGUGCGUAACGCGUGGGAAUCUGCCCUCAGGUACGGAAUAACUCAGGGAAACUUGAGCUAAUACCGUAUAAUGACUUCGGUCCAAAGAUUUAUCACCUGGGGAUGAGCCCGCGUCGGAUUAGCUAGUUGGUGAGGUAAAAGCUCACCAAGGCGACGAUCCGUAGCUGGUCUGAGAGGAUGAUCAGCCACACUGGGACUGAGACACGGCCCAGACUCCUACGGGAGGCAGCAGUGGGGAAUAUUGGACAAUGGGCGCAAGCCUGAUCCAGCAAUGCCGCGUGAGUGAUGAAGGCCUUAGGGUUGUAAAGCUCUUUUACCCGGGAAGAUAAUGACUGUACCGGGAGAAUAAGCCCCGGCUAACUCCGUGCCAGCAGCCGCGGUAAUACGGAGGGGCUAGCGUUGUUCGGAAUUACUGGGCGUAAAGCGCACGUA
rnacentral:rRNA from 1 species